CCUACGGGAGGCAGCAGUGAGGAAUAUUGGUCAAUGGGCGCGAGCCUGAACCAGCCAAGUCGCGUGAGGGAAGACUGUCCUAUGGAUUGUAAACCUCUUUUGUCGGGGAGCAAAAGACGCCACGUGUGGCGUUCCGAGAGUACCCGAAGAAAAAGCAUCGGCUAACUCCGUGCCAGCAGCCGCGGUAAUCCGGAGGAUGCGAGCGUUAUCCGGAUUUAUUGGGUUUAAAGGGUGCGCAGGCGGAAGAUCAAGUCAGCGGUAAAAUUGAGAGGCUCAACCUCUUCGAGCCGUUGAAACUGGUUGUCUUGAGUGAGCGAGAAGUAUGCGGAAUGCGUGGUGUAGCGGUGAAAUGCAUAGAUAUCACGCAGAACUCCGAUUGCGAAGGCAGCAUACCGGCGCUCAACUGACGCUCAUGCACGAAAGUGUGGGUAUCGAACAGGAUUAGAUACCCCUGUAGUC
rnacentral:rRNA from 1 species